ensembl:lncRNA
AUCCUUAGGGUGGUGCACUUCUAUUGAAUACUAAGGCAGAGAGACUAGAGGACACACACACAUGUGUUCCCUGUCUCUUGGCAUUGUAAUGCCCACGUGCCAUCUCUGGACUCUGCCAGUAAGAAGACCAACACCAGAUGCUGUCUCUUGCCUUUUGAACAGAAAUGGGCCUGUACUAGAUAUCCUAAGAGAGAAAAAAUGGCAGUGCUUCAAGACUCUUAAAUAAGGGAGAUGGAGAGGCUGUCAAUGCCAAUCCAUAGACCAGACUUCUCCAACCCCGGACAUCCAAGAUUUAAAGAUCUGAAAUCAUCAGUGAUUGGAAACUACC